rnacentral:pre_miRNA from 1 species
AGUCAUGUUCUUCCACAGCUUUCUUGAACUUCUUUAAUUCUUCCUCCUUUUGUUUCAAUCUUGCAUGGAUUACUAAAAGAAGAAAGGCCUUUCUCAUAGAAGCUCAAGAAAGCUGUGGGAAAACAUGGUGA